GACGAACGCUGGCGGCGUGCUUAACACAUGCAAGUCGAGCGGUAAGGCCCUUUCGGGGGUACACGAGCGGCGAACGGGUGAGUAACACGUGGGUGACCUGCCCUCAGCUCUGGGAUAAGCCUGGGAAACUGGGUCUAAUACUGGAUAUGACUCCACGGUGCAUGUCGUGGGGUGGAAAGCCUUGUGCGGCUGAGGAUGGGCCCGCGGCCUAUCAGCUUGUUGGUGGGGNGAUGGCCUACCAAGGCGACGACGGGUAGCCGGCCUGAGAGGGCGACCGGCCACACUGGGACUGAGACACGGCCCAGACUCCUACGGGAGGCAGCAGUGGGGAAUCUUGCGCAAUGCGCGAAAGCGUGACG
rnacentral:rRNA from 1 species